rnacentral:rRNA from 1 species
AUGCAUGAGAUGACUAAGAAAAAUAUUGAAUGCAUGAAUGCCAAGUAUAAACUUGCUGGUAGUCAGGGUAGGAAAAGUAUUGUGUUCGAACCAGGUGAUUUAGUAUGGUUACAUUUGCGAAAAGACCGCUUCCCUGAUAUACGAAAGUCAAAAUUAAUGCCUCGUGUGGAUGGACCUUUUAAAGUGCUUGAAAAAAUUAACGAGAAUGCAUAUAAGCUUGAUUUUCCUGCAGAAUUUCUGGUUAGUCCCACAUUUAACGUUGCAGAUUUAAAGCCUUAUUUGGGUGAUGACGAUGAGAUGCCGUUGAGGACGACUUCGAUUCAAGAAGGGGGGGGGGAUGAUGAGGACAUCUCUUCCACUGUUACACCCGCCGUGACUCCUACAUCAGUUAUUCCACUUGGUCCUAUUACUAGAGCACGAGCGAGACAAAUUAAUGGCCAGGUACUAUCGCUCCUUUGUACAUAUGGCUUAACUAACGAGAAUAUGAUGUUACACUCAUGU